UACGUAGGGUGCGAGCGUUGUCCGGAAUUAUUGGGCGUAAAGGGCUCGUAGGCGGUUUGUCGCGUCGGGAGUGAAAACCUCGGGCUUAACUCGGGGCUUGCUUUCGAUACGGGCAGACUAGAGGUAUGCAGGGGAGAACGGAAUUCCUGGUGUAGCGGUGAAAUGCGCAGACUAUCAGGAGGAACACCGGUGGCGAAGGCGGUUCUCUGGGCAUGAUCUGACGCUGAGGAGCGAAAGUGUGGGGAGCGAACAGG
rnacentral:rRNA from 1 species